rnacentral:tRNA from 1 species
CGGGAAUAGCUCAGCUGGUAGAGCACGACCUUGCCAAGGUCGGGGUCGCGAGUUCGAAUCUCGUUUCCCG